CCAACCAAUUUCUACCUAACAUCAAUGAUAUGGUGCCCUUAUCCUAUUUCGAAUUUUCAACUUCUAAUCUCUAAGUUGUUGGUUUGUUGAAAAGGGGAGAAUUCAUACAUACACAAAAACAGAGAGGAGCAACCAUUACAUAAUCUGUGUUGACUCAGUAUAUAUCUCAGAAUUUUCAUCUUCAACAUCAAUUAAAAAGAUUUUGAGAACAUGAAAGGAAGGGAAGGAACAGUUACAACAAUGGAAAGAGGAAAAGAAAUUGAAGGAGAAAGAGAGAAAGGGAAAGCAAUCAAAUUAUCGGUCUUUAAUGGCUAUUGUGGUUGAGGGUUUUGGAUGGUGGUUGUGGGCGGCGUAAUCAAAAUUAAAAGGGAAAUCAACUGAGUUACGAUCAAGCGGACUCAAUAUUGUUGGAGCCAUGGGGAGGCACUGGUGGAUCAGAAUGGAAUUACAUGCUGAAAAGUCCUAUUAAAGAAAUAUUGAUUACUCAUGGAGAUGUUAUAGACUCCAUCAUGUUCAAAACCAUUAUUGAACAAGGUACUACCAUCGACUCACCAAAGUUUGGUGGGGAUGGUGGUCGAAGAGA